GGACACGAUGUCUUUAUUUAUUUCCUUAAUGUGGUGCUAAGGAUGGAACCCAGUGCCUCCUGCGUGCUAGGCGAGCGCUCUGCCACUAGCCCCAGCCCAGGGUUACAUUUUUCUUUGAAGUUAAAUGUAGUCGUCGACUUGUAGGUGAAAGUGUUGCGUGACCCCUUCAGUACACAUGAAGAACCAUAGAGCGACCCACAGUCUUCCAUUCUUACUGGUUUGGGCAGAGAUUGUUGGACAAAGUCAAGUUUGCAUCAGCCCGGGCUCCAGAGUGACUAAUGAACACAAAGCUGGUGCCUUGGAUAUAUAAUGUUUACAGCAAGCAUGUGUUGUGUUAAGCCACUGAAUUUUAAUCUCGUCCUGUAGCGAACUCUGCCUUGAUCCAGGUCCUCAAGAUGAUAAGCACACAUUCUACCACAGUCCCAGAUAGGUAACCUUUAAAAUAAACUUUUAUUAAUUUCUUUGAUCUUUGGGCUUAUUUAUUGCUGCAGCAUAACCUAUCUCAACUGAUACAUAAAGUCUUUUAUAUUUAUUUUGUUAUGAACUACUUCUGCAUAGGAAAGAAUACAGAAUAAUAUAAUUCUUCAUACUCAACAAAACAACAUUUAAAAUAUACAAAACACAUACAGCCUGAGGUCUCUGUGUACCUCAACAUUCAUUCUCUUUCUCUUGCCUUGCCUGGGGUUAUUAGAUUUUGCAUCUACUGUUCAUCAUUCUCAUGCAUGAUUGGGUUUUUUUGUUGUUGUAAUUUUGAGACAGUCUCACUAAGUUGCUUAGGGCCUCACUAAAUUGCUGAGGCUGGUCUUGAACUUGUGAUCC
rnacentral:lncRNA from 1 species